GAUGAAGAACGUAGUGAAAUGCGAUACGUAAUGUGAAUUGCAGAAUUCAGUGAAUCAUCGAGUCUUUGAACGCACAUUGCGCCCCCUGGUAUUCCGGGGGGCAUGCCUGUCCGAGCGUCAUUGCUGCCCUCAAGCACGGCUUGUGUGUUGGGCCUCCGUCCUCCUCCCGGGGGACGGGCCCGAAAGGCAGCGGCGGCACCGCGUCCGGUCCUCGAGCGUAUGGGGCUUCGUCACCCGCUCUUGUAGGCCCGGCCGGCGCUUGCCGACACAUCAAUCUUUUUUCCAGGUUGACCUCGGAUCAGGUAGGACUACCCGCUGAACUUAAGCAUAUCAAUAAGCGGAGGA
rnacentral:misc_RNA from 1 species